UAAACUAGGAUUAGAUACCCUAUUAUUUAAAAUGUAAUUGUUAACACUAAGGUAGUAGUAGUUAUGUUCUUGAAACUUAAAAAAUUUGGCGGUAUUUUAGUCUAUUCAGAGGAACCUGUCCUGUAAUUGAUAAUCCACGAUGAACCUUACUUAAGUUUGUCUUUCAGUUUAUAUACCGUCGUUAUCAGAAUAUUUUAUUAGAAUAAUAAUUUUCUAUAAUUUUAAUAGGAAUGUAUAUCAGAUCAAGGUGUAGCUUAUAUUUGAGUAGAGAUGGGUUACAAUAAAUAUAUUUAAACGGAUCUAAUUAUGAAAUAUUUUUAGUGAAGGUGGAUUUGAUAGUAAAAUUUUAAAGAUUGUGAAUUUGAUUUUAGCUCUAGAAUAUGCACACAUCGCCCGUCGCUCUUACUAUUAAGGUAAGAUAAGUCGUAACAUAAGA
rnacentral:rRNA from 1 species